AGUUGGCUUACUAACGAAUGAUAAUCGGCAGAUGGGGAAAAGCCCCUGAUUUGAUUAGUCCGUUCGUUUUCAUUUAAAAAGUGUCCAUAAAAGGAGCGAUUUCUGUUGACGAAUCCGAGAACGCCUCUCGAUACUCCUCGGAUAGUAACGAUCCUUUGAACAAAAGCCGAACGUGGAUUGUGGCUGGAAGGGAUCCAUGGACAUACUCGUUGAAAUGAGGCGAUCUACGGCUGGUUUGAAAGAGUGUCACCAGAACACGGUAUGGAGUUCCAGGCUCGAUAAAACGGCUGGCUUGCACAAGGUGCGUCCUAAAACAAGCGUGGGCCCAUUAAGUCCAUUCGCCAAUAUUCCAAAUCCAAUAAGCGGAUCAAGGAUAUCGGAAUAUGUACAUUUCUAUCUAAAUGCAUUUUAGCCUUGGGAUAAAAUUUAUAUUAAGCAUCGA